UUAUUUUAACGUGUAGGUUUCGCUGAUACUACGUUGGUCACCAAAAGCAAAUAUGUAAACUGGGUACACGAAUAAAGAUAAAGAUUAUAACUGAAGCACAAGAAAGCCAAACUUUUUGUUGUUGUUAUUGUUAUUUUGUAUAUUUUUUUAUUAUUAUUAUAAUAUUACAAGGACUGGGAUUCCUAUGAGCAGCGCCGUUAUUUAUUUGAAGUUGCGACGUGGACAGUUCAAUGGCUGCACUCUCUGUGAAACAGGUGUCUUUGACCUUGAAGAGCGAAGAGCUUGUCUACCUGUUCGUUUCUGAAGAGACGAGAACUCUUCACUGUUAUCCGUCUGCGGAGCAGGUGACAUCUGCGUAUAGGAUGUUAUAAUUGCACCGCCUCGUUUGUGCAGGGAGCACUCAUAGUUUAUUUUUUUACUUGUAGGCUUUUACACAAUUUCAGAGUACUUUGAAAUGAGUUUGAUUUUUUGUUACUUUUUCUAUUUUUAUUGUUUUAUUUACUAGAUCUCUUGCCUCCCCUUUGUCUUGAGCUGUUGUCAGUAUCAUCCUAUUAUGCGGUUCUGAUUCCAGUGUAUAUUUUCUUACUAUUUUAUUCUGUUUUGAUACAACUUCAUAUUACGGGUGUCUAUGUCUUUCACCCUCUCGUGAGAGACGCAGUUCUUUUACACCGGUGUGAAAAGUGACUUAAUGAAAAAGAACUAGUUCGUGUGCUCUUCAAAGGCUGUGUGAACUACAGUAUAGCAGUGAUAGAUUUUUCUGUUGAAAUGGCUCAGUGCAGAAAGGUGUGCUUGUGUUUCGAGCGUCGGGUUAGCCUUUAAAAACUGCCUGGAUUGAUGCAUUAUUGCUUUUCAGUCAGGUCUGACAUGAAGAGUAGCGAUCACAUACAGUACCUGGAGAAUAUCUGACGAAGGGGUUUAAAAAUGAAAACGGGUAGUAUUUUAUUAUAACAGGAGUCCAGCUGAGAGUAGCUCUCGGAUUCCUGGGUUUUAUGACCUCUGCUGUUGGCCGUACCGCGGAACAGUCUUGAGCACCGAUUUGCUUCAUGACAACGACUCAAAAGUUAAGUUACUCAAGUGAAGAAAGGGAAUUGGGGGAAAUUACCGGCUGUGCAUUUUUAUGUGAGGGAAACUAUUUUGUCAGAC
rnacentral:lncRNA from 1 species